GACGAACGCUGGCGGCGUGCUUAACACAUGCAAGUCGAACGGAAAGGCCUUUUCGGAGGUACUCGAGUGGCGAACGGGUGAGUAACACGUGGGUGAUCUGCCCUGCACUCUGGGAUAAGCCUGGGAAACUGGGUCUAAUACCGGAUAGGACCGCACUUUAGUGUGUGUGGUGGAAAGUUUUUUCGGUGUAGGAUGAGCCCGCGGCCUAUCAGCUUGUUGGUGGGGUAAUGGCCUACCAAGGCGGCGACGGGUAGCCGGACUGAGAGGUUGGUCGGCCACAUUGGGACUGAGAUACGGCCCAGACUCCUACGGGAGGCAGCAGUGGGGAAUAUUGCACAGUGGGCGCAAGCCUGAUGCAGCGACGCCGCGUGGGGGAUGACGGCCUUCGGGUUGUAAACUCCUUUCGCCAGGGACGAAGCGUUUUGUGACGGUACCUGGAGAAGAAGCACCGGCUAACUACGUG
rnacentral:rRNA from 1 species